GUGACAGGUGGUGCAUGGUUGUCGUCAGCUCGUGUCGUGAGAUGUUGGGUUAAGUCCCGCAACGAGCGCAACCCUUGUCUUUAGUUGCCAUCAUUAAGUUGGGCACUCUAGAGAGACUGCCAGGGAUAACCUGGAGGAAGGUGGGGAUGACGUCAAAUCAUCAUGCCCCUUAUGCUUAGGGCUACACACGUGCUACAAUGGGUAGUACAGAGGGUUGCCAAGCCGUAAGGUGGAGCUAAUCCCUUAAAGCUACUCUCAGUUCGGAUUGUAGGCUGAAACUCGCCUACAUGAAGCUGGAGUUACUAGUAAUCGCAGAUCAGAAUGCUGCGGUGAAUGCGUUCCCGGGUCUUGUACACACCGCCCGUCACACCACGGGAGUUGGAGACGCCCGAAGCCGAUUAUCUAACCUUUUGGAAGAAGUCGUCGAAGGUGGAAUCAAUAACUGGGGUGAAGUCGUAACAAGGUAGCCGUAUCGGAAGGUGCGGCUGGAUCACCUCCUUUCUAAGGA
rnacentral:rRNA from 1 species